rnacentral:rRNA from 1 species
UACGUAGGGGGCAAGCGUUGUCCGGAUUUAUUGGGCGUAAAGAGCGUGUAGGCGGCUGGGUAGGUCCGUUGUGAAAACUCGAGGCUCAACCUCGAGACGCCGAUGGAAACCCUCCAGCUAGAGUCCGGAAGAGGAGAGUGGAAUUCCUGGUGUAGCGGUGAAAUGCGCAGAUAUCAGGAAGAACACCCGUGGCUAAGGCGGCUCUCUAGUACGGUGCUGACGCUGAGACGCGAAAGCGUGGGGAGCGAACAGG